UGCAACUCGCCUGCAUGAAGUCGGAAUUGCUAGUAAUCGCGGAUCAGCAUGCCGCGGUGAAUACGUUCCCGGGCCUUGUACACACCGCCCGUCACACCAUGGGAGUCGGUAACACCCGAAGCCGAUAGUCUAACGAAAGAGGACGUCGUCGAAGGUGGGAUUGAUGACUGGGGUGAAGUCGUAACAAGGUAUC
rnacentral:rRNA from 1 species